rnacentral:rRNA from 1 species
GGUUAAGUGACUAAGCGUACACGGUGGAUGCCUUGGCAGUCAGAGGCGAUGAAAGACGUAGUAACUUGCGAUAAGCCCAGAUUAGGUAGUAACAACCAUUUGAGUCUGGGAUUUCUGAAUGGGGAAACCCACUUACAUAAGUAAGUAUCAUUAACUGAAUACAUAGGUUAAUGAGGCGAACCGGGGAACUGAAACAUCUAAGUACCCCGAGGAAAAGAAAUCAACCGAGAUUCCGAAAGUAGCGGCGAGCGAAAUUGGACUAGCCCUUAAGCUUUACACGCGUUAGACGAACGGUCUGGAAAGUCCGACGAUACAGGGUGAUAGUCCCGUAGUUGACGACGUGUGUUCAGUGAAAUCGAGUAGGGCGGGACACGUGAUAUCCUGUCUGAAUAUGGGGGACCAUCCUCCAAGGCUAAAUACUACUGACUGACCGAUAGUGAACCAGUACCGUGAGGGAAAGGCGAAAAGAACCCCUGUGAGGGGAGUGAAAUAGAACCUGAAACCGUGUACGUACAAGCAGUAGGAGCAGGCUUUGUCCUGUGACUGCGUACCUUUUGUAUAAUGGGUCAGCGACUUAUAUUCAGUGGCAAGGUUAACCAUCUAGGGGAGCCGUAGGGAAACCGAGUCUUAACUGGGCGUUCAGUCUCUGGAUAUAGACCCGAAACCAGGUGAUCUAGCCAUGGGCAGGUUGAAGGUUGAGUAACAUCAACUGGAGGACCGAACCGACUAAUGUUGAAAAAUUAGCGGAUGACUUGUGGCUAGGGGUGAAAGGCCAAUCAAACCUGGAGAUAGCUGGUUCUCCCCGAAAGCUAUUUAGGUAGCGCCUCGGACGAAUACUACUGGGGGUAGAGCACUGUUAAGGCUAGGGGGUCAUCCCGACUUACCAACCCUUUGCAAACUCCGAAUACCAGUAAGUACUAUCCGGGAGACACACGGCGGGUGCUAACGUCCGUCGUGGAGAGGGAAACAACCCAGACCGCCAGCUAAGGUCCCAAAUUACUACUAAGUGGGAAACGAUGUGGGAAGGCUCAGACAGCCAGGAUGUUGGCUUAGAAGCAGCCAUCAUUUAAAGAAAGCGUAAUAGCUCACUGGUCGAGUCGGCCUGCGCGGAAGAUGUAACGGGGCUAAGUAGUAAACCGAAGCUGCGGCAAUGUGCUUUUGCACAUUGGGUAGGGGAGCGUUCUGUAAGCGGUUGAAGGUGUGUGGUAACGCAUGCUGGACGUAUCAGAAGUGCGAAUGCUGACAUGAGUAACGAUAAAGGGGUGAAAAACCUCCUCGCCGGAAGACCAAGGGUUCCUGUCCAACGUUAAUCGGGGCAGGGUAAGUCGACCCCUAAGGCGAGGCCGAAAGGCGUAGUCGAUGGGAAACGGGUUAAUAUUCCCGUACUUCUUACAAUUGCGAUGGGGGGACGGAGAAGGCUAGGUGGGCCUGGCGACGGUUGUCCAGGUUCAAGUGCGUAGGCUUAAGAGUUAGGUAAAUCCGGCUCUUUCUAAGGCUGAGACACGACGUCGAGCACCUACGGGUGUGAAGUCAUUGAUGCCAUGCUUCCAGGAAAAGCCUCUAAGCUUCAGAUUGUAAGGAAUCGUACCCCAAACCGACACAGGAGGUCGGGUAGAGAAUACCAAGGCGCUUGAGAGAACUCGGGUGAAGGAACUAGGCAAAAUGGUACCGUAACUUCGGGAGAAGGUACGCUCUUGAUGGUGAAGUCCCUUGCGGAUGGAGCUGACGAGAGUCGCAGAUACCAGGUGGCUGCAACUGUUUAUUAAAAACACAGCACUGUGCAAAAUCGUAAGAUGACGUAUACGGUGUGACGCCUGCCCGGUGCCGGAAGGUUAAUUGAUGGGGUUAGACUUCGGUCGAAGCUCUUGAUCGAAGCCCCGGUAAACGGCGGCCGUAACUAUAACGGUCCUAAGGUAGCGAAAUUCCUUGUCGGGUAAGUUCCGACCUGCACGAAUGGCGUAAUGAUGGCCACGCUGUCUCCACCCGAGACUCAGUGAAAUUGAAAUCGCUGUGAAGAUGCAGUGUACCCGCGGCUAGACGGAAAGACCCCGUGAACCUUUACUACAGCUUGGCACUGAACAUUGACCCUACAUGUGUAGGAUAGGUGGGAGGCUUUGAAGCACGUACGCCAGUAUGUGUGGAGCCGUCCUUGAAAUACCACCCUUGUAGUGUUGAUGUUCUAACGUCGACCCCUUAUCGGGGUUACGGACAGUGCCUGGUGGGUAGUUUGACUGGGGCGGUCUCCUCCCAAAGAGUAACGGAGGAGCACGAAGGUGGGCUAAUCACGGUUGGACAUCGUGAGGUUAGUGCAAUGGCAUAAGCCCGCUUGACUGCGAGAAUGACAAUUCGAGCAGGUGCGAAAGCAGGUCAUAGUGAUCCGGUGGUUCUGAAUGGAAGGGCCAUCGCUCAACGGAUAAAAGGUACUCCGGGGAUAACAGGCUGAUACCGCCCAAGAGUUCAUAUCGACGGCGGUGUUUGGCACCUCGAUGUCGGCUCAUCACAUCCUGGGGCUGAAGUCGGUCCCAAGGGUAUGGCUGUUCGCCAUUUAAAGUGGUACGCGAGCUGGGUUUAGAACGUCGUGAGACAGUUCGGUCCCUAUCUGCCGUGGGCGUUGGAAGAUUGAAGGGGCUGCUCCUAGUACGAGAGGACCGGAGUGGACGAACCUCUGGUGUUCGGGUUGUGUCGCCAGACGCAUUGCCCGGUAGCUAAGUUCGGAAUCGAUAACCGCUGAAAGCAUCUAAGCGGGAAGCGAGGCCCUGAGAUGAGUCUUCCCUGAUACUUUAAGUAUCCUAAAGGGUUGUCGGAGACUACGACGUUGAUAGGUCAGGUGUGUAAGUGCUGUGAGGCAUUGAGCUAACUGAUACUAAUUGCCCGUGAGGCUUAACCAU